rnacentral:rRNA from 1 species
GACGAACGCUGGCGGUGUGCUUAACACAUGCAAGUGGCGCGACGAACCAGAGCUUGCUCUGGGGCAAAGCCGCGAACGGGUGAGUAACACGUGGGUAACCUGCCCCGAUGACUGGGACAACCCGGGGAAACCCGGGCGAAUACCGGAUUAUGCAUCUCGGCUCAAACCGGGAAGCCAAAGGUAGCUACGGCUUCCGCACUGGCACGGGCCCGGGGCCCAUUAGCCUGUUGGUGGGGUAAUGGCCUACCAAAGCAACGAUGGGUAGCUGGUCUGAGAGGACGAUCAGCCACACUGGGACUGAGACACGGCCCAGACUCCUACGGGAGGCAGCAGUGGGGAAUCUUGCGCAGUGCGCGAAAGCGUGACGCAGCAACACCGCGUGAGGGAAGACGGCCUUAGGGUUGUAAACCUCUUUCAGUUGGGACGAAGGUUUGACGGUGAAUAGCCGGCCGGACUGACGGUACCUUCAGAAGAAGCUCCGGCUAACUACGUGCCAGCAGCCGCGGUAA